UACGGCCAUGUUACGUUGAAACACCGAUUCUCGUACGAUCACCAUAGUUAAGCAAUGUCGUACCUGGUCAGUACUUAGAUGGGCGAUCGCUUGGGAAUAUCAG